rnacentral:rRNA from 1 species
UAACGCGUAAGAACUUGCCCUUGGGAGGGGGACAACAACUGGAAACGGCUGCUAAUACCCCGUAAGCUGAGGAGCAAAAGGGAGGGAUCCGCCCAAGGAGGGGCUUGCGUCUGAUUAGCUGGUUGGUGAGGCAAUGGCUUACCAAGGCGACGAUCAGUAGCUGGUCUGAGAGGAUGAUCAGCCACACUGGGGCUGAGACACGGCCCAGACUCCGUAGGGAGGCAGCAGUGGGGAAUCUUCCGCAAUGGGCGAAAGCCUGACGGAGCAAUGCCGCGUGGAGGCAGAAGGCCCACGGGUCGUAAACUCCUUUUCUCGGAG